rnacentral:pre_miRNA from 1 species
AUAGGAAUCACUUGGGGAGCUUGUUAAAACCCAGGCUCUUGUUCAGAAGGUUUGCGAUAUGGGGCCUGAGAGCCUACAUUUCUCACAAGCUCCCAUGUGAUGCUGAU